UGUGCGUUCUGUAAUUGUUUAAGGCUCGCUUAAGUAUCGAUCGAGAUUCUCAUUUGGCCUAACACGCUAAAUGAGGAUUGUGUACACAGGGUUAGUGGCUCGAUGGGUUGAUCGCCAUCGUGCACUAACAGAUUUAGAACGUUAUAAGGGUGGGUGCUUGAUAGGAGGUUAUCCGGAGCACAGUUAAGGUUAUUGAUUCUGACCGGGUGCGUCCCGAGAUCAAUAACAGAUUUUGGAUCUGACUGGGUGCGUCCCGAGAUCAGUGAAUAUGGGG
rnacentral:lncRNA from 1 species